UACGAAAAGGGCUAGGGUUGUUCGGAAUUACUGGGCGUAAAGCGCACGUAGGCGGCCUUGUAAGUUGGGGGUGAAAUCCCGGAGCUCAACUCCGGAACUGCCUCCAAAACUACAAAGCUCGAGGAUGUGAGAGGAGAGUGGAAUUCCGAGUGUAGAGGUGAAAUUCGUAGAUAUUCGGAAGAACACCAGUGGCGAAGGCGGCUCUCGGGCACACUUCUAACGCUGAGGUGCGAAAGCGUGGGGAGCAAACAGG
rnacentral:rRNA from 1 species